CUACGGGGGGCACCAGUGGGGAAUAUUGGACAAUGGGGGCAACCCUGAUCCAGCAAUGCCGCGUGAGUGACGAAGGCCUUAGGGUUGUAAAGCUCUUUCGGCGGGGACGAUGAUGACGGUACCCGCAGAAGAAGCCCCGGCUAACUCCGUGCCAGCAGCCGCGGUAAUACGGAGGGGGCUAGCGUUGUUCGGAAUUACUGGGCGUAAAGGGCGCGUAGGCGGCCUCGUCAGUCGGGUGUGAAAGCCCUGGGCUUAACCCGGGAAAGGCGCUCGAGACGACGGGGCUGGAGUUCGGAAGAGGAUGGUGGAAUUCCCAGUGUAGAGGUGAAAUUCGUAGAUAUUGGGAAGAACACCGGUGGCGAAGGCGGCCAUCUGGUCCGCGACUGACGCUGAGGCGCGAAAGCGUGGGGAGCAAACAGGAUUAGAUACCCCCGUAGUC
rnacentral:rRNA from 1 species